rnacentral:rRNA from 1 species
CCUACGGGAGGCUGCAGUGGGGAAUAUUGGACAAUGGGCGAAAGCCUGAUCCAGCCAUGCCGCGUGAGUGAUGAAGGCCUUAGGGUUGUAAAGCUCUUUCACCCACGACGAUGAUGACGGUAGUGGGAGAAGAAGCCCCGGCUAACUUCGUGCCAGCAGCCGCGGUAAUACGAAGGGGGCUAGCGUUGUUCGGAAUUACUGGGCGUAAAGCGCACGCAGGCGGUGGUCAUAGUCAGAAGUGAAAGCCCUGGGCUCAACCCGGGAAUUGCUUUUGAUACUGGACCGCUAGAAUCACGGAGAGGGUAGUGGAAUUCCGAGUGUAGAGGUGAAAUUCGUAGAUAUUCGGAAGAACACCAGUGGCGAAGGCGACUACCUGGCCGUCGAUUGACGCUCAUGUGCGAAAGCGUGGGGAGCAAACAGGAUUAGAUACCCCUGUAGUC